UACAAUGCGGUGACAAGUGGCGCGGGAAAUCGGAGGGGGCAAUCGGUAAUCGGAAUUACUGGGGGUAAAGCGUUCGCAGGCGGCUUAGUAAGUCAGAUGUGAAAGCCCUAGGGCCAACCUAGGAACUGCAUGUGAAACUAAUAAACUAGAGUAUCGUAGAGGGAGGUAGAAUUGCAGGUGUAGCGGUGAAAUGCGUAGAUAUCUGGAGGAAUACCAGUGGCGAAGGCGACCUCCUGGACGAAAACUGACGCUCAAGCACGAAAGCAUGGGGAGCAAACAGGAUUAGAUACCCCGGUAGUC
rnacentral:rRNA from 1 species